CCAGCUGAUUUCCUCCCCAUCCUCACCAGCAGCAGGACAACCACCACGGCUGAGGGGACGAAGACAAGGACGGAGAGGAGGGCCACAGAGGAGAGCAUGAUGCCAAACCCUAGACGGGGGGGGAAAGGGAAGACAGGCAGAGAGAGAGAGGGAGACGCAGAAUCGGAAGCAGGCUCUGGGCUCGGAGCUGUCAGCACAGGACCCCACACGGGGCCCGAACCCACGAACCGCGAGAUCGGGACCUGAGCCGAAGUCGGGCGCUCAACCAACUGAGCCACCCAGGUGCUCCUGCUCUUGUAUUUCUUCUGAUCACAACAGGAAUAAAUUCAUGGUAGAAGGGGUAGAAAGUACACAAAGGGACAAAAAGAAUAAAAACGUAGCCACGGUCCCACUCCCUAGGAUUAACGCAUUGGUAUCUACCCGUCCAGUGCUUUCUUGGAGUACGUGGGUAUGGGUCUGCGGGCAGGGAGGAGAGUGCACAUUUUUAGAAGUAUGGAUCAUAUUUUACAGACUGUUUCUAGACCCCUCUUUUAGGUACCAUAUAAUAAAUGUUUCUCGGGUCAUUAAACAUUC